UAUUGGAAACUUGGGUAUAACAGUACGAAUGCUUGGAUUUCAGUGACAAAACCCUGCCAAAGGCGGCCAUCAGGACUAGCUGUGGUGGCUGGAGGCAGAAACAGCCAGAAGAAUGGAGGUGGACCAAAGUAAAAGUUGAUUUCUCCCACACACCAGAUGUCCAGAGAUAGGCGCCCAAAGGGAGCCCCAUGAAGUGAACAGGGACCCGCGUCCCUUCCAGCUCACUGCUGUCACUCACGGUCAUGCUUUUGUGUGAAAUGCCAGUUUUAUCCAUCGUGAGUUUCCAAGGAGCUGGAUGGAGGAAAAGGGUCCCUCCCUUCUCCCCACCUUACUGUGACGUCUCAGAGAAGACACAACAACACAGCCGUUCUGGGUCCGGGAUCCCAGGAGCAGGACCACGUGCAAGGGAGGGGGCACAGGCGGCAGUUUGCUCCUGGCAAUGUGCCCACUACCCAUCCGCCGCCUGCCGGAGGAAUGUCACACGCAUCCCACCUGGCUGGGGGGUGAUGCUAGCCUGUGCCUGGCCCUCAGCCUGCCCCACUGCCCGCUCAGCAUCUGCCCCUCGGACCGGAGCAGGGGCUGCCGUGGCAGGAGUGAAUGAGGUCUGUCCCCGUGGACUCGGAGGGGUCACAGCAGCUUUUCGAAGUUUUCAGAAUCCAUAACCAACCUAUUUCUCUUUAAUUUAUCUUUCCUUUCUUCAAAAGAAUAGGAUUAACACGUUUGUGCAGACGAAGAGAGUUUUUAAAAAUAAAACACAAGUUGAUAACAUACUGUGUUGUAGUUCAUCUGUCAGCUUUUCCCUCCCGAUGGGGAACACACUUAUGUUUUGUGGAGCAUGAGGAGAGAGGAUCAUAAUUUACAUGAACGUGGAAUGGUAUGAAGCGACCCGAUGCCCCAGGACUCUGUCACGACCUCCGAGUCCUUUCCAGAGGUGGCGCACAGCUUCACCCCCGGUCAUCGCCCCCAGACGAGAUCCACGUGACCCCAACACGGGGGCUUCCUCUGUUACCUGGGCAACUCGGUGGCCCUUUCAAGGCUCGACUUUAAGCCUGAGGCAGGGGGAGGGCGGUCCUUCGUCUGAGUGAAUUGUGACCCUACUGAAGUCACGGCCCCCCGGGCCCCAGGCACAUCUCCGGAGCUGUCCAAUUCUCCCGGCUGCCACUCCGCCCAUUAGAGAUCCCCUCCUCUGGGGCCUCUGAAGUCCCAGCGUGCGCUCAACUCAGGGACACCGCCCGGUGCUGCAAUCUGCAAUCUGGGCCAGGGUGACUGACCCACCCGCGUGUGUCCCGCCUCUUGCCUGACGUCCAGGGUCCAUGGGAUUGAAGAAACCCUUGACAACGUAAUGCCACAGGCAGCCAGAAAGGUCCCGGGAGGUCUUGGGACUCAGGACACUGGUGAGAAGCGUGAGCCUGAGUCUGAAAUACAAACUCAGUAUCGGUUCCAGUCACGAAUGGUGUGUCCUGGACAGCGGCUCCCUCUGGAGGCAGCACAGUGUUCAGCCGGCAUCACCUUAAACACCCUCCCGAGAGGGUGCCUUUGUGGCCUUGGAGGUUGCUGGCUCUUCCUCUGGUGACAGUCACACAAUUUUAGGCAGGGCUGCGGCUUAAACUGGAGACUACGGAAGAGGAGGCUCAGGUUGGCAAGUGCGUUCUGAUGGGGGCCAGACCAUAAAUAACUGAGGCCCUGUGGGCCACACUGAAUGAGUGUCUGUGUUCCAAUAAACCCUUA